rnacentral:rRNA from 1 species
GACGAACGCUGGCGGCGUGCCUAAUACAUGCAAGUUGAGCGAUGAAGAUUGGUGCUUGCACCAAUUUGAAGAGCAGCGAACGGGUGAGUAACGCGUGGGGAAUCUGCCUUUGAGCGGGGGACAACAUUUGGAAACGAAUGCUAAUACCGCAUAAUAACUUUAAACAUAAGUUUUAAGUUUGAAAGAUGCAAUUGCAUCACUCAAAGAUGAUCCCGCGUUGUAUUAGCUAGUUGGUGAGGUAAAGGCUCACCAAGGCGAUGAUACAUAGCCGACCUGAGAGGGUGAUCGGCCACAUUGGGACUGAGACACGGCCCAAACUCCUACGGGAGGCAGCAGUAGGGGAUCUUCGGCAAUGGACGAAAGUCUGACCGAGCAACGCCGCGUGAGUGAAGAAGGUUGUCGGAUCGUAAAACUCUGUUGGUAGAGAAGAACGUUGGUGAGAGUGGAAAGCUCAUCAAGUGACGGUAACUACCCAGAAAGGGACGGCUAACUACGUG